rnacentral:lncRNA from 1 species
CGGGCCGGCAGCAGCCACAGCCCCGAGCGGCCCCGCUGGUCCCGGCCCCGCCGGCGGGCAGGAAGCGGGUGAGCUGCGGUAUCUUUGAUGCAGCGUUUAUCUGCGACGUGGAGUGCCCCGAGCCCGUUCCAGAGAGGCGGCAGCGAAGGCUGCACGUGCAGAAGUGAGCGCGGGCAUCGAGCGCCUUUGAAUUCAAUUUAAUCUAAAUGCCACUUCCCCUCCUUCCUAAUUCCAUCUGCGCCACAGCCAUCGCAGGAGCACAGUGUGACGGGGGAUUUUCUGCCCCUGGGAGCCUCCAUAUCACCAGGGGCACAGGAGAAGGACGGCAGCGUGCUAUGGGCAGGUGUGCGUAUGGGGACCGAGGAGGUUGUACCAUUGGCCAACUGUUACAGCUACCAAGAAGGGAGAAAUAAAAAGAAAACCAACCAGAAUUCUGGGGAAUGAGGAAUCUCGGAGUGUUGGUGUUUUUUUCUUGCAAUAAUUGGACAAAAAGUGAAUGAGACCCCAACCCCCCCCCCCCUGGGUCACCACCCCCUGCCCA